rnacentral:tRNA from 1 species
AAUUUAUUAGUUUAACUACUAAAACAUUACAUUUUCAAUGUAAAAAUAAAUUUUUUAUUUAUAAAUUA